rnacentral:rRNA from 1 species
AGAGUUUGAUCCUGGCUCAGGAUGAACGCUGGCGGCGUGCCUAACACAUGCAAGUCGAGCGAGAAAUAAAGGAAUGAAGCUUCGGUAGAUUUUCUUUAUGGAAAGCGGCGGACGGGUGAGUAACGCGUAGGCAACCUGCCCUGUACAGGGGGAUAGCCACCCGAAAAGGUGAUUAAUACCCCAUAACGCAAGAGAUACACAUGUAUCACUUGUCAAAGAUUUAUCGGUAUAGGAUGGGCCUGCGUCUGAUUAGCUAGUUGGUAGGGUAACGGCUUACCA